rfam:Pseudoalteromonas sp. OCN003 chromosome 1, complete sequence.
UGAGUCAGCCAGAUAAUCGCUGCUUUAUCGUUGUACUUUCGGGUAUACGGGUAAAGGGGAGGAAAGUCCGGGCUCCACAGGGCAGGGUGCCAGCUAACAGCUGGGGGGCGCGAGCCUACGACAAGUGCAGCAGAGAGGAGACCGCCAGCUUAGGUUGGUAAGGGUGAAAGGGUGCGGUAAGAGCGCACCGGGCCACUGGUAACAGUUGGUUGCAAGGUAAACUCCACCCGGAGCAAGACCAAAUAGGGUUCCUUAUGGUGUGGCCCACAUCGGAACCGGGUAGGUUGCUUGAGCCUUGGAGCGAUCCAAGGCCUAGACGAAUGAUUAUCCACGACAGAACCCGGCUUACCGGCUGACUCAUCAA